rnacentral:tRNA from 1 species
AACUAAUGAACUUGAAUAAGUAUAUAUUUUGAAAAUAUAUUAAAGAAACAUGAAUUUCUAUUAGUUU